CAACCUGCCGAUGACUCGGGGAUAGCCUUUCGAAAGAAAGAUUAAUACCCGAUGGCAUAGUUCUUCCGCAUGGUGGAACUAUUAAAGAAUUUCGGUCAUCGAUGGGGAUGCGUUCCAUUAGGUUGUUGGCGGGGUAACGGCCCACCAAGCCUUCGAUGGAUAGGGGUUCUGAGAGGAAGGUCCCCCACAUUGGAACUGAGACACGGUCCAAACUCCUACGGGAGGCAGCAGUGAGGAAUAUUGGUCAAUGGACGAGAGUCUGAACCAGCCAAGUAGCGUGAAGGAUGACUGCCCUAUGGGUUGUAAACUUCUUUUAUACGGGAAUAAAGUGAGGCACGUGUGCCUUUUUGUAUGUACCGUAUGAAUAAGGAUCGGCUAACUCCGUGCCAGCAGCCGCGGUAAUACGGAGGAUCCGAGCGUUAUCCGGAUUUAUUGGGUCUAAAGGGAGCGUAGGCGGACGCUUAAGUCAGUUGUGAAAGUUUGCGGCUCAACCGUAAAAUUGCAGUUGAUACUGGGUGUCUUGAGUACAGUAGAGGCAGGCGGAAUUCGUGGUGUAGCGGUGAAAUGCUUAGAUAUCACGAAGAACUCCGAUUG
rnacentral:rRNA from 1 species